CAGGCUUAACACAUGCAAGUCGAGGGGCAGCAUGGUCUUAGCUUGCUAAGGCCGAUGGCGGCCGGCGCACGGGUGAGUAACACGUAUCCAACCUGCCGUCUACUCUUGGACAGCCUUCUGAAAGGAAGAUUAAUACAAGAUGGCAUCAUGAGUCCGCAUGUUCACAUGAUUAAAGGUAUUCCGGUAGACGAUGGGGAUGCGUUCCAUUAGAUAGUAGGCGGGGUAACGGCCCACCUAGUCUUCGAUGGAUAGGGGUUCUGAGAGGAAGGUCCCCCACAUUGGAACUGAGACACGGUCCAAACUCCUACGGGAGGCAGCAGUGAGGAAUAUUGGUCAAUGGGCGAGAGCCUGAACCAGCCAAGUAGCGUGAAGGAUGACUGCCCUAUGGGUUGUAAACUUCUUUUAUAAAGGAAUAAAGUCGGGUAUGGAUACCCGUUUGCAUGUACUUUAUGAAUAAGGAUCGGCUAACUCCGUGCCAGCAGCCGCGGUAAUACGGAGGAUCCGAGCGUUAUCCGGAUUUAUUGGGUUUAAAGGGAGCGUAGAUGGAUGUUUAAGUCAGUUGUGAAAGUUUGCGGCUCAACCGUAAAAUUGCAGUUGAUACUGGAUAUCUUGAGUGCAGUUGAGGCAGGCGGAAUUCGUGGUGUAGCGGUGAAAUGCUUAGAUAUCACGAAGAACUCCGAUUGCGAAGGCAGCCUGCUAAGCUGCAACUGACAUUGAGGCUCGAAAGUGUGGGUAUCAAACAGGAUUGGAUACCCUGGUAGUCCACACGGUAAACGAUGAAUACUCGCUGUUUGCGAUAUACUGCAAGCGGCCAAGCGAAAGCGUUAAGUAUUCCACCUGGGGAGUACGCCGGCAACGGUGAAACUCAAAGGAAUUGACGGGGGCCCGCACAAGCGGAGGAACAUGUGGUUUAAUUCGAUGAUACGCGAGGAACCUUACCCGGGCUUAAAUUGCAGAUGAAUUACGGUGAAAGCCGUAAGCCGCAAGGCAUCUGUGAAGGUGCUGCAUGGUUGUCGUCAGCUCGUGCCGUGAGGUGUCGGCUUAAGUGCCAUAACGAGCGCAACCCUUGUUGUCAGUUACUAACAGGUUCCGCUGAGGACUCUGACAAGACUGCCAUCGUAAGAUGUGAGGAAGGUGGGGAUGACGUCAAAUCAGCACGGCCCUUACGUCCGGGGCUACACACGUGUUACAAUGGGGGGUACAGAGGGCCGCUACCACGCGAGUGGAUGCCAAUCCCCAAAACCUCUCUCAGUUCGGACUGGAGUCUGCAACCCGACUCCACGAAGCUGGAUUCGCUAGUAAUCGCGCAUCAGCCACGGCGCGGUGAAUACGUUCCCGGGCCUUGUACACACCGCCCGUCAAGCCAUGGGAGCCGGGGGUACCUGAAGUGCGUAACCGCGAGGAGCGCCCUAGGGUAAAACUGGUGACUGGGGCUAA
rnacentral:rRNA from 1 species